rnacentral:lncRNA from 1 species
GGUGUGACCAAACAUCCAAUUAAUUGCCACCGGGAAGCAAGAGGUGCUGUUGCAUCUGUAGGAGACAGGCAGGAGCACGGACUGCCCCACGGUGCCAGUGACUGCAUCCUGCAGGAUUUCCAGGAGGAAGCCCAGGUUUUGCCCUGCAGAGGGGAAGAGGCAAUUCAGCAGCUCAGCAGGGCAGCGGCAGAUUCUCCCCCCUUGGAGCACAGCGCUCAGCCCACCCUGCCCCACUGCCCACUUACAGAAGCCUCACACCCACACACCAGACCUCAGUGCGGUGCCCUUGUGUUUGGGGACCCCACUGGAUGCAGCCGCCCCAGGGUGGGCUCCGCAUCACCUGCCCUGACAACCCCUUGGCCCCAGCCUCCUCCCCGCUGGCUUCUCCAGCCGCAGUGGCCCCGUCCCCAGCUCACCGAGCAGCAGCAGCAGCAGCAGGAGGGAGCCGAGGCCCCAGCAGCGCCGGCCGGGACACAUCGCCUGCGGCUGCUGCGCUCGCCUGGGCCAGGAGGAAGUCGGAGGCUCUCGCUCAGCCCCUCGGCGCCGUGGGGUUCGCUGCGGGCGGGCGGGCGAGCCCCGGCUCCUUCCUGUGCCACCUGCACGCUUUGGGGCUGCGGGGACAGAGGGGGCUGUGGGGUGUCCCCUGUGCCCCCACUGCGGGCGCUGCUUCUGCCCCAGCACCUUCCACGCUCACAGCAGGGAGCUGCCAGAAAACUGUCUAUUCCAUCUCCAUUUCUGGAGGGAUUUUCCAGGGAAUGCAGCUCAAAGUCUCACAAGGCCCUCCUGCAGCUGUCACCCGUUAGGCUCAGCAGCCGCCCAGCCCCUGCCCCACAAAAGCAGCCUUUGGAGUCUCCAGCCCCACUGCGAGGUGCCACUGCCACCUGGGGCUGGCCAGAAGCUUUGGGAAUCUCUCCCGGCUCUGGCUUUGCUGCUGGAACUGCUUCAGGUGGUGCUGCAGCCCCAUGCCAGGCACUUUGGAGACAGGGAGGCCAGAGGAAAGGUGUUUAUUUGGUGUUUGAAUUGGGAGCAGGAAUUUCAGAGCAGGGGUAUGUGAGCGUGGGGAGUGGUUGUGCACUGGGGGCAGGCAGGGGCCGGGAGCCCGGUUUGUCCAGCAGAGGGGCAGGUGCCAGAGGGAAAAGCAGCCCCGAGGCAGCAGCUGAGCGCCUUCCUUGUGCCCGGGCACUGCGGGCACUUCAUUGUGCCCCGGCCCUGGCUGCUCCCGCACGCUGGCUCCCUUCUCCCCAGCAGCAGCCGCAGGCUUCCCCACGGCUGCCCCGCAGCCAGCACAGGUGGAAGAGCAGCUGCAGGAGCAGCAGGAUGAAGCAGUAG